AUUGAACGCUGGCGGCAUGCUUUACACAUGCAAGUCGAACGGUAACAGGUUAAGCUGACGAGUGGCGAACGGGUGAGUAAUGCAUCGGAACGUGCCCGAUCGUGGGGGAUAACGCAGCGAAAGCUGCGCUAAUACCGCAUACGAUCUGAGGAUGAAAGCGGGGGACCGUACGGCCUCGCGCGAUCGGAGCGGCCGAUGUCAGAUUAGGUAGUUGGUGGGGUAAAGGCCCACCAAGCCGACGAUCUGUCGCUGGUCUGAGAGGUCGACCAGCCACACUGGGACUGAGACACGGCCCAGACUCCUACGGGAGGCAGCAGUGGGGAAUUUUGGACAAUGGGCGAAAGCCUGAUCCAGCAAUGCCGCGUGCAGGAAGAAGGCCUUCGGGUUGUAAACUGUUUUUGUACGGAGCGAAAAGGUCCUUUCUAAUACAAGGGGCUCAUGACGGUACCGUAAGAAUAAGCACCGGCUAACUACGUGCCAGCCGCCGCGGUAA
rnacentral:rRNA from 1 species